UGGCUCAGUUGGAAGAGCAUGGUGUUUGCAACGCCAGGGUUGUGGGUUCGAAUCCCAC
rnacentral:tRNA from 1 species